UGGGGAAUCUUGGACAAUGGGGGCAACCCUGAUCCAGCCAUGCCGCGUGAGUGAUGAAGGCCUUAGGGUCGUAAAGCUCUUUCGCCUGUGAAGAUAAUGACGGUAGCAGGUAAAGAAACCCCGGCUAACUCCGUGCCAGCAGCCGCGGUAAUACGGAGGGGGUUAGCGUUGUUCGGAAUUACUGGGCGUAAAGCGCACGUAGGCGGACCAGAAAGUUGGGGGUGAAAUCCCGGGGGGCUCAACCCCGGAACUGCCUCCAAAACUAUUGGUUUAGAGUUCGAGAGAGGUGAGUGGAAUUCCAAGUGUAGAGGUGAAAUUCGUAGAUAUUUGGAGGAACACCAGUGGCGAAGGCGGCUCACUGGCUCGAUACUGACGCUGAGGUGCGAAAGUGUGGGGAGCAAACAGGAUUAGAUACCCUGGUAGUCCACACCGUAAAACGAUGGAAUGCCAGUCGUCGGGUAGCAUGCUAUUCGGUGACACACCUAACGGAUUAAGCAUUCCGCCUGGGGAGUACGGUCGCAAGAUUAAAA
rnacentral:rRNA from 1 species